rnacentral:rRNA from 1 species
UCCCGUUGAUCCUGCGGGAGGUUGCUGCUAUUAGGGUUCGAUUAAGCUAUGCAUGUCAUCUCGCAAGAGAGGCAUACUGCUCAGUAACACGUCGACAAUCUACCCUUAGGUCUGCCAUAACCUUGGGAAACUGAGGAUAAAAGCGGAUAGGGGUUGAAUUCUGGAAGGAAUCUUUCCUGAAAGGUAACGCCUAAGGAUGAGUCGGCGGCCGAUUAGGUUGUUGGUGGUGUAAAGGACCACCAAGCCAAAGAUCGGUAGGGGUCUUGAGAGAGAUAGCCCCGAGAAGGGCACUGAGACACUGGCCCUAGCCCCACGGGGUGCAGCAGGCGCGAAACCUUUACAAUGCACGCAAGUGUGAUAAGGGGACUCUAAGUGCUUUGCUUUUGCAAGGCUUUUGCCAAGUCUAAAACGCUUGGCGAAUAAGUGGUGGGCAAGACUGGUGCCAGCCGCCGCGGUAACACCAGCUCCACGAGUGGCAACCGCAUUUAUUGGGUCUAAAGCGUCCGUAGCCGGCUUGUUAAGUCUCUUGUGAAAUCAUUGAGCUUAACUCAAUGGUGUGCUUGAGAUACUGGCAAGCUUGGAACUGGGAGGAGUCAGAAGUAUUUCUAGGGGAGCGGUAAAAUGCUAUAAUCCUAGAAGGACUACCUGUGGCGAAAGCGUCUGACUAGAACAGAUUCGACGGUGAGGGACGAAAGCUAGGGGAGCAAUCCGGAUUAGAUACCCGAGUAGUCCUAGCCAUAAACGCUGCGAGCUAGGUGUUGCAUAUUCUUCGUGAAUGUGCAGUAUCGUAGUGAAGACGUUAAGCUCGCCACCUGGGGAGUAUGGUCGCAAGACUGAAACUUAAAGGAAUUGGCGGGGGAGCACCACAAGGGGUGCGGCGUGCGGUUUAAUUUAACUCAACGCAGAGAAUCUCACCAGGAGCGACGGCAGGAUGAAGGUCAGUCUGAAGGGCUUACCCAACGAGCCGAGAGGUAGUGCAUGGCCGUCGUCAGCUCGUGCCGUAAGGUGUCCUGUUAAGUCAGGCAACGAGCGAGACCUGUAUUUACAAUUGCUAACGAGCAGUUAUGCGAUCGAGCACAUUGUAGGAACUGCUCCCGAAAGGGAGAGGAAGGUGCAGGCUACGGUAGGUCUGUAUGCUCCGAAUCUUCUGGGCUACACGCGCGCAACAAUGGUAAUGACAAUAGGAUGCAACUCCGAAAGGAGGAGCUUAUCCCCGAAACAUUAUCUUAGUCCAGAUUGUGGGCUGUAACUCGCCCACAUGACGUUGGAAUCCCUAGUAAUCAGAAUUCAAAAUGUUCUGGUGAAUAUGUCCCUGCUCCUUGCACACACCGCCCGUCAAACCACCCGAGUAGGGUCUAGAUGAGGUCUUAUUUUCAAUAAGUUCGAAUCUAGGCUUUGCGAGGAGGGUUAAGUCGUCACAAGGUA